GACGUAGGGCGCGAGCGUUGUCCGGAUUUAUUGGGCGUAAAGAGCUCGUAGGCGGCUUGUCGCGUCGACUGUGAAAUCCCGCGGCUCAACUGCGGGUCUGCAGUCGAUACGGGCAGGCUAGAGUUCGGUAGGGGAGACUGGAAUUCCUGGUGUAGCGGUGAAAUGUGCAGAUAUCAGGAGGAACACCGGUGGCGAAGGCGGGUCUCUGGGCCGAUACUGACGCUGAGGAGCGAAAGCGUGGGGGAGCGAACAGG
rnacentral:rRNA from 1 species